CCAUGAGAUUAAGGAGCAAUUGGCAUUAGUCCAACAUUACUUGUUGCAAACAUGGAAAGUGUGGCUGAGAUCGUUUGGAUUCCAGAGACAAUGGUGCUUUCUACAAGGGUGGGAUAUUUGUUGUACUACGAUUUUCUCUUUCUAAUAGCCAAGAUUAUAAACAUUCAAUUCAAUACUCAUUUGGAUAUGGCUUCAUGAUGGAGGGCGACCCGGGCAACCAGGACGCAUCGGGGGCCGUCGUGGGCAUCGUCGGAGAAGGGGAUCCCCGGCACUCCUCUUCCGAUCUAGGAACCCAGGCGCGUCACCGGAGUCAGAUCUCGCCGGAGGAGGAGUCCAACGACCGUUUUAGAUGGAGAGUUUCAUUCUCAGAGUCUGGUUCUUCAUAUCUGAAAGAUGGGCAGAUAGUUUUCCACCCGGUUUCUCGAUGGAUGACGCUCCGGGAUGAUGAGGAUGACAUCCUCGCCGGCUGCCAUCUCCAAGAGGGAGAUCUCAUCUGUGAAGGUGCGCAUUUCUUGGUGGAUAUUUUUCUCUCACUUGUGUUUCUCCUAUCUUGCAGGUGACUAAGCAUGGAGAAAAGACGCAGAAUCUAGUGGUGUUAUCUGACGAUGACGACAGAAUUUCGCCGAGACUUGAUCCUCGAGUUGGGGGGAGGUUUUGGGUCCUGGCUAACGAGGAAGAUGACGAGAACCACGACAUUGAUGCAGCUCAUGAGGUAUCUACUCCAUUCAGCGAGCAGGUCAUUUUCAGGGCUACUGCCUUGAUCCGCACAUGGUCAUUACUCACUCCUGUGAAAGCCAGAGAGCCUUUGGUUACUGGGUGUGUCCGAUGGGAGAUGGUAGCUCGGGUUAUCUUCAACCGGUUUGGAUGGCGUCAUAUUAAUAGGAUAGGUGGUUAGUCAUCUAGGCUUAUUUUUAUGCACCCCGGUUGUGGCGAGUUGGACGCCGUGUAUCUUUCUCUCUCUUUUUUUUGGAGACUAUUUGUACUAUUCGAUGAAUUGGGAUCGUUUUUAAUAUAUGGCCGUAUGCAUCCUUCGAUGCAGAGGCCGGGGCUUCGCCUCCUUUU